AUCAGAGAAAAGCGCUCAGUAACGCUCUUUCCUGUCAUAAAGACAAUCACUUGUGUUUGGAGCCGUUUACUGCGUGCUCCAGCUCCGUGACGUUGGAGAAGCUCAGCGGGAAGGAGAGAUGCAGGCCGGUGUAGAUGUCUGGAACCUCAAUGUGCUUAUAACAGAUGCGUCUCUCCCACUCCGUGUCCUAAGACACCUCGCUCUCACCAAACAUCUGAGAGACCAGAUGGCCUGAAGGAGACGCAUGUGUCAGUCUGUUCAGUUACCCUGAGCACUUCAUCAGAUCAGACACAGCUGAAGAACUUGCUUCUUACUUCGGCUGUUGGCAGAACUGAAAUGAUCCAUCAGGUAACCGAAGAAAUUAUACAGCUGCAGAGACACAAACAGCAUGAGCGUGUUUCAUGUGCAGAAAUAUUAACAAGACUUUUAGUGCAAUAACAGGCCUCUGUGAUUGUAAAUCUGUGCUUCAUUACUCCUGGUGAGACGUAUCUGAGGAGAAGAUCCAUGUUGUUUCACCUUGAUAUGAUCCUGUUGUCCAGAAUACUCUAUCGACUGAAAGAUGUUCCAGGUGCAGCGGCGUCCACAUACUGACGAUACCAGUGCUGGAUGAGCAGCGCCGCCCGCAUCGCAUCACACAGACUGAGAGAGAGACAGACACAGUCAGGCCAGCAGGAGACAUGAGUGACGGUGAUGUUUCUUUAGACUCACAGAAACAUGCGAUCUGUCUGACCUGUAGCUGCUGCAUGUGAGAGAAACCAAGAAAAACAGUGUCAUUAACACUCACUGACAACAAUGAGACUUACUGAAAUAAAUGAGGAGGAAUUACCUGGAACUGAGAUGUUUCCUACAGACAGAGACAAAGUCAGACACAGAGCAAUGUGAGCUGUUUCUCAGGCAGAUAUUCAGCUGAAAGCACUGAAUUUUUGAAUCAUCUUGUUGGUUCACGCACCUCGAUUGCAUGGUUUCAGCUGCAGUUGGUUUGAUUUCGUGACUCCGCAUCCCAUGUCACAUUAGUCAGCUAUUGCCGUUCACACGCAGGUGUUGGAAUUCCUCCUGACGCAAGGGAGUUACAGUGCGACGGCCUCAAGGACAAACACGGCCAGCGCUGCUUUGAUUCAGUUCAUCUGAGGUCAGAAGAGAAACUACAGAUGCUACAACAAUGUCCAGCUUUGUAUUUCUCAUGAGAAAUGACCUGCGGAGUCAAAUAAAUAUCAGAAAAUAUGCUUCUUGUGUUUAAACAUUGACUGAUUAGUGAUCAAUAACCCAGCUUUAACCCCCAGUCCUGAACAUGCGCUCGCAGUCUUGUAAAGUGUUACUAACCCGCUACAUUAUUUUAGGCCAUCGCAAUGAGUCAGGAAUCCACUGGAAAUUCAUGUCAGCUGAUACAAUACAAUACAACUUUAUUGUCAACCCCAAUAGUUGAAAACUGUCUUUGACCACACCAUUGCCCUCAAACAUACAUAACAUUAAAACCACACAGUUAUAAAAAAAACAUAUCAGAUCAUUCCACCUUUGUGUUUUGAUUCAAAUAUCCAAUUACUGCAGGUAUAAAUUCAUUCUUAUAGAUGAUUCUCUCUGCCCUGGGCAUUAAAUAACGUCUUCUAGAAGGCAAUAAGACAAACUGAUCAUUCAAAGGAUGAGUAGCAUCUUUCAAAAUGCACUCAACUUUCCUAACACAACUUAUUAAGCCUCUUAUUAAGAAACCACAACUAGAUCCUAGUGAA